AUUGAACGCUGGCGGCAUGCCUUACACAUGCAAGUCGAACGGCAGCACGGGGCAACCUGGUGGCGAGUGGCGAACGGGUGAGUAAUGCAUCGGAACGUACCUUUCAGUGGGGGAUAACGUAGCGAAAGUUACGCUAAUACCGCAUAUUCUGUGAGCAGGAAAGCAGGGGAUCGCAAGACCUUGCGCUGAUUGAGCGGCCGAUGUCAGAUUAGCUAGUUGGUGAGGUAAAGGCUCACCAAGGCGACGAUCUGUAGGGGGUCUGAGAGGAUGAUCCGCAACACUGGAACUGAGACACGGUCCAGACUCCUACGGGAGGCAGCAGUGGGGAAUUUUGGACAAUGGGGGCAACCCUGAUCCAGCCAUGCCGCGUGAGUGAAGAAGGCCUUCGGGUUGUAAAGCUCUUUCGGCCGGGAAGAAAUCGCACGGGCUAAUACCCUGUGUGGAUGACGGUACCGGAAUAAGAAGCACCGGCUAACUACGUGCCAGCAGCCGCCGUAAUAC
rnacentral:rRNA from 1 species